CCUCUCAUGGCGUAGUGGUAACGCGCCCCAACUAGAGAUCGGGGAGUCGUGAGUUCGAUUCUCACUGGCAAGA
rnacentral:tRNA from 1 species